rnacentral:rRNA from 1 species
AUUGAACGCUGGCGGCAUGCUUUACACAUGCAAGUCGAACGGUAACAGGCCGCAAGGUGCUGACGAGUGGCGAACGGGUGAGUAAUGCAUCGGAACGUGCCCAGUCGUGGGGGAUAACUACUCGAAAGAGUAGCUAAUACCGCAUACGAUCUAUGGAUGAAAGCGGGGGACCGUAAGGCCUCGCGCGAUUGGAGCGGCCGAUGUCAGAUUAGGUAGUUGGUGGGGUAAAGGCUCACCACGCCAACGAUCUGUAGCUGGUCUGAGAGGACGACCAGCCACACUGGGACUGAGACACGGCCCAGACUCCUACGGGAGGCAGCAGUGGGGAAUUUUGGACAAUGGGCGCAAGCCUGAUCCAGCAAUGCCGCGUGCAGGAAGAAGGCCUUCGGGUUGUAAACUGCUUUUGUACGGAACGAAACGGCUCUGGUUAAUACCCGGGGCUAAUGACGGUACCGUAAGAAUAAGCACCGGCUAACUACGUG